rfam:Danaus plexippus plexippus isolate F-2 unplaced genomic scaffold DPSCF300036, whole genome shotgun sequence.
CGCACGCUCCUUAGAUCCAUUUCAUCUUUAAUAUGAAAUGCUUGAGUCAUAAGUGUGCUAUAGAACAGUACCUCCAUACUAAGACUGAUAUGUGAAAAGUUUUAUAAGUUGCACUUGUCUUGGCAUGGGGAACAG